UGUGCUCUUCCGAUGUUCGUGAUCGACGCGGGCUGAUGACCCGCGCCUACCGGGAAUUCCUCGUUCAUGGGGUUGGUUCCAGGCCCCGAUCCCUAUCACGGGAGGUGGUUCAGAGGUUUCCCGACCCUCUCGGGCCGGGGGAGACGCGCCCGCUGAUACCUCCAGUGUAG